rnacentral:tRNA from 2 species
GGGUCGUUAGCUCAGUUGGUAGAGCAGUUGACUUUUAAUCAAUUGGUCGCAGGUUCGAGCCCGUCAUCACCCACCA